ACUCAAAAGCAUCCUGACUAACUCUCUCCCAUCAAUCCACAAGCUCUGCUGUCCAAAGUCUUGCUGAACAGUUUGAUUUACAAUCCAAACCAAAGGUCAGAGUUCAAGCUGCUUCCCAUAAGACUGCUUACCUACUCACCCACGGUAAAACUUUCACCACACGUCCACUUCAGAGGAAGCUGUGCAAAAUGGCCUCAGCUCCAAAAAAUGCAAGAAUUAGCAAUGACCCGCCUCCUGAAUUGCAUAAAUUAAAGAACAAACUUGAAGAUUCUGCAAAGUCAUUCACUGCAGAGUUUGACAGGAGUGAAUCAAGCAUGAGAGAGAUUAUGAGAGAGUUUAGGAGGAUUUCUGAUGAAGUAGAUGAAAUGCAGAGAAAAACUAACACUGCGAGAAAAGUGGGAGUUGGAUUUCUUAUUGGUGGGAUCUUAGCAGCUCCGUUUACUGCAGGAGUGAGUUUAGCUGCAGCUGCCGGAGGUGGAGCCACUGUUGUUACUACCAAUGUAAUAAAAAUUCUGUCAGAGGAAGGAAAAGCAAAGAAAGUAGAAAAGUGGGGAGAAGAAUUCAUGGCCAAAGUCAGACCAAUGAUGAAGAACCUGGAAGAAAUAAAGACGAUAUGUGAAAAGCUGGAAAAGGAAUCAGCUGAAGCUCAGGCCAGAGACUCUCAGAUUGAUGUGGACGAGUUUCAGAGGACCCUCAGACAGGUGUCGCACCUGAAAGAGAUGAGUUCAGGACUUCUGGUUAUAACUGAAACCCUGCUGGAUGUUAUGGGUGGUCUGGUAAUGCUCAUCAAGGAAGUCUUCAGAGUGACUGCGACUCCUGAAGAAGAUCAAAAGUUAAGAGACGCCAUCAAAAAGGCAGCUGAUCAGAGUCAGAAGAUCAUUGAGGAGUUUCAUAAGAUGAGAACAAAACUGAAAGAGUUUACAUCAAAUAAAAGAAAAGUCACCUCCACCCAUCCCCCCCCUCCAUCACCCUGUGAGCCUUACUGUUCACACUGACUAACCAAUAAAGUUUUAUUAAUAAAGGAUCAUCAGACUUUGACCUGGACUGUAUAACGGACUUGUAGAGUUUGAGUCUGAAGCUUCCCCAUGUCCUCUGUUCAUAGACAGGAUGUUGUUGUAUAUUCAUGUAAAGCUGAUCCACAGCAGCCUGAUGUCACAGAGAGGUCGUAUGAAGAGGAUCCACAGCCUCACAAAGAGCUGCUUUCCUCCAUGUUCUCUGCUGAUCUCACCCGGGACGUCAAACUCAUUUCACAGUGUGGGCCACUUACAGCCCACUUUGAUCUUAGUGGGUUGGACCAGUGAAACCCUCCUUUCUGUCAAUGUAAAGAAGCUUAACUGAACAUUUAAUCACUGAGAUAUAUUAACAUAAGAAAAAAAGGGUAAUUUCAACAUUAUGUCUUUUUGAUUUUCGUCCUAAAAAAAGAAUUCUGCUGUAUUAAAAAAAGAUAUCCGCCAGCAUGACUCUUUGGACUUAAAAUGUA
ensembl:lncRNA